AAUCAAACCGAACGGAUGGCUCCUGUUAAAAUUAUUGGAUUUUUUCCAAGUCCACUGAGGAUUUCCCAAUUUUCUGUAGAAUAUACAGUCAAGAUGUACGACACUUCCUGGACGAACAACCCUUUCAAUAACAACAAGGAUGAUCCCGUUGGAACAUUCGUUUUUAUCGUUGGCGGAUGAUCAUCUAUAAUAUUCCAAUUGAAAUUUGCUAAUCAAACUGAAGACGAUUAAAGAUGUUGUAAAUGUCUAACUUAGUUUUUAAUUUGCUAGACAAUUAAUCAGAAUCAAAGAAGACGAUCCUAUAUACGUGCACUUCUUAAUUAUAAUCGAAGAGAAACGGUUUACCAAUAAAUGCGGAAAGGCCAUCGGAAGGUGUCGUUGGAAGACCUAUGCAGACAAAUGUAAAUAAGUCAUUAAAGCAGAAUAUUUUAUUUUUUUUACAUGUGGGGAGCUUGUCGCUCCAUUUUCCAUGGUAGCAUUGGAUUGAGACUGCGCCCAAUAAUUUCAUUUUGCCAAGCACGGGACAUCGGGCUACGAGAGUUGUACCGUGGGGAAUAACGGCAUUUGCCUGUUAAAAAGAUUACAAUCAUGGAAAUUUAACAUGCAAGGACUGGAAUAGGCCUACUAUACGUAGGCAAUUGAUUUUUUAUCUUGCUCCUCGCUGGAUAUGGUUAAUGAAAUUCAAAUCAAUAUAUGUUGAAAUAUUUACAUUUA